rfam:Rattus norvegicus chromosome 10, whole genome shotgun sequence.
GGGGAUUUAGCUCAGUGGUAGAGCACUUGCCUAGCAAGCACAAGGCUCUGGGUUCAGUCUCCA